ACAAGAGAAUCAAAAAUUUAAAGCGACGUCCAACAACUCCGUACUUCACAGUAGAUGCUCUGCAUGGCCGGUUCUGAAACAUUUCAGAACCUCUGAACCAGGAUGAUGCUUUGAGGACGAUGUCCGAAUCUUUUUCAAACGACUUCACAGGGAGAAAUUCUACAUUUGUAGACCAGGAACCACUAAAUUGACUGGAUGAGGUGAAGAAUGAACAGAGAUGGUGCUGCUCUGAGGGGUGACAUUUCAGUCUGUGUCUCAGGGGGCGGAGGCUCUGCCUUCUGCUUUUCAUGUCCUCGUGCAGCUUGACCCCCCCACCCUGCCUCAGAAUGUGAAGGUCGGGGUUGAUGAGAGCUCAAAGGUAUGUUUGGUGUUCUCUGCAGAGCGCUUCUCAUGCAAGACCAGAUAAAGAUUUGCAUUUACAACACAAACCUACGAAUGAAAAAAAA